GUAUAUUAGGGCUGAGCUUAAAUUAGAACUGAAAUUAUAUUAAAAAUCGCACGAACUGCACUAAUUAAAAUCGCACCAACGAUUCUAACGUAUGUAACGAUUUUAGGUGAGUUGAAUAACCAAAUUUAUGAUUUCGAUUUGAUUACUAGCCAAAACUGCACGCAUAAAACCGAAACCGCACCAUGUGUGUAUGUAUGUAUUAUCUCUAAUAAAUUCUAAAGUUACAUUUCACUUAAACACGCUCAAAGAAAAUUCCAGUCUUGUAUUGUCAUUUUUUCACCAAUUGAAAGAAGAUGGUUAGAGGUUAUAUAGUCAAAAAUUGAGCAUUUGGGUUUUGGAAUUUCGAAUUUAUUUGAUGCGUUACCAGAGGGGCUUAUAGCUGAUGGGCC
rnacentral:lncRNA from 1 species